rnacentral:rRNA from 1 species
UUGAUCCUGGCUCAGAUUGAACGCUGGCGGCAUGCCUUACACAUGCAAGUCGAACGGCAGCAUAGGAGCUUGCUCCUGAUGGCGAGUGGCGAACGGGUGAGUAAUAUAUCGGAACGUGCCCUAGAGUGGGGGAUAACUAGUCGAAAGACUAGCUAAUACCGCAUACGAUCUACGGAUGAAAGUGGGGGAUCGCAAGACCUCAUGCUCCUGGAGCGGCCGAUAUCUGAUUAGCUAGUUGGUGGGGUAAAAGCCUACCAAGGCAACGAUCAGUAGCUGGUCUGAGAGGACGACCAGCCACACUGGGACUGAGACACGGCCCAGACUCUACGGGAGGCAGCAGUGGGGAAUUUUGGACAAUGGGGGCAACCCUGAUCCAGCAAUGCCGCGUGAGUGAAGAAGGCUUCGGGUUGUAAAGCUCUUUUGUCAGGGAAGAAACGGUAGUAGCUAAUAUCUAUUACUAAUGACGGUACCUGAAGAAUAAGCACCGGCUAACUACGUGCCAGCAGCCGCGGUAAUACGUAGGGUGCAAGCGUUAAUCGGAAUUACUGGGCGUAAAGCGUGCGCAGGCGGUUGUGUAAGUCAGAUGUGAAAUCCCCGGGCUCAACCUGGGAAUUGCAUUUGAGACUGCACGGCUAGAGUGUGUCAGAGGGGGGUAGAAUUCCACGUGUAGCAGUGAAAUGCGUAGAUAUGUGGAGGAAUACCGAUGGCGAAGGCAGCCCCCUGGGAUAACACUGACGCUCAUGCACGAAAGCGUGGGGAGCAAACAGGAUUAGAUACCCUGGUAGUCCACGCCCUAAACGAUGUCUACUAGUUGUCGGGUCUUAAUUGACUUGGUAACGCAGCUAACGCGUGAAGUAGACCGCCUGGGGAGUACGGUCGCAAGAUUAAAACUCAAAGGAAUUGACGGGGACCCGCACAAGCGGUGGAUGAUGUGGAUUAAUUCGAUGCAACGCGAAAAACCUUACCUACCCUUGACAUGGAUGGAAUCCCGAAGAGAUUUGGGAGUGCUCGAAAGAGAACCAUCACACAGGUGCUGCAUGGCUGUCGUCAGCUCGUGUCGUGAGAUGUUGGGUUAAGUCCCGCAACGAGCGCAACCCUUGUCAUUAGUUGCUACGAAAGGGCACUCUAAUGAGACUGCCGGUGACAAACCGGAGGAAGGUGGGGAUGACGUCAAGUCCUCAUGGCCCUUAUGGGUAGGGCUUCACACGUCAUACAAUGGUACAUACAGAGGGCCGCCAACCCGCGAGGGGGAGCUAAUCCCAGAAAGUGUAUCGUAGUCCGGAUUGGAGUCUGCAACUCGACUCCAUGAAGUUGGAAUCGCUAGUAAUCGCGGAUCAGCAUGUCGCGGUGAAUACGUUCCCGGGUCUUGUACACACCGCCCGUCACACCAUGGGAGCGGGUUUUACCAGAAGUGGGUAGCCUAACCGCAAGGAGGGCGCUCACCACGGUAGGAUUCGU